AGAAUCUUGCUUGGUCUCCUUCCUCUUCUUCAGCCCAUGUCUUGCAGGUUAGCGCCCCUUCAGAGGACCCUGAAUAGCUGACCCGCCAAGUGGGGGUUACAAGAAUCAUUUUUAAGAGUUGGGAUUUUAUUUGAAGCAGCAAUAGCCAAUUAGAACAGGCAACAGAAAGUCCAGAGUCCUAAUCAGCAACACAUCUACCACUUACCUAUGAACAAGAUGAAGGCUGCAAGAAAAAAACGCUAUAGGCCGGUCUCACGGAGACUCUUCUGGAGCGCCCACCUUCAGCUGGGCUGGCCAGCCCUUGCAAAGGGGUAGAACUGGACUAUCAGGCAUCUCUGUACCCCCAGCACAAGGACCUGCAUAUGACUCUGAUAGUGUGCCUUGCUAUUGCUUUAAAGAAUAAACUUACCUAUUUCCAUUUA